UCACUUUACUCUGAAGUUCCCUUUAAGAUUGACUAAUCUCUUUCGACUUUGAUAGAUUUAUCUCCUAAAAUCUUGAUAUCUUAGUCUGGAUUUGAGAUGAUUUAUAUUCUAAGUUACGUUGCCCUAUCACACACUUCAUAUGGUAUAGGCUUACUGGUAAAUAAUGUAUAAACUUCUACCACAUUUUCCUAAAGUUUAACUUAAUUACGAAGAGUGGGUGUAAAAUAUAUUGAAAUUGUUAAGGACUUGUUCAUAUAAGCUCUGGUACAGUGUUAAGCAUAAGUUUCCUUGAAGCUUAAAGUUUGUUUUCCUUAAAGUGCCCCCAAAUAGUGCAGUAUACUUCUCCAUAAUUUAUAUCUUAAUUAAGAUCCUGCUGAUUUAGCUUUUAUCUUUUAUACAGGAUUGGGGGCAGCCUGGCUUUACUUUAAUAUGAAAGAAGACGAUUUGGUAACAUCAUAAAAGAGUGUGUAACUUCACUGUUCUUUUUCAUCGUUGUGUUCUUGUUUCCUAUAUCAGCAUGGAAAAUCCCAUACCUCCCUUUGAACUUAUUAUCAACUUAUCAUUUGGAAAUUGGAUACUCUCAAGAUUUGUUAUAUUUCAUACAUGAAUCAAUCAUAAGCUAGAUUGUCAAGAUCUAUUAGUAAUAUGGUUAUUGUGCAGUUAUAAGAAAUUUUCAUAGUAGAAUUGCUAAUUUAAGAUAGUAGAUUUCAAACUAAAGUGUAAUAAGUUGCUUGGUUAAAUUUAUUUUGUGUUGUCCAAGUUAAUGGUUUAACUAGUUUAACUAUUAAUUGUUAACUCUUUGAUUCUUUAUUUUUCUUUUCUUGAUUUUGGUUUGGGUUCCAUCGAAUUUUGUAUAGUUUUUUUUCCUUCUUCACUCGAUGCCAUUUAAUACUUGAUUUUGGUUUGGGUUCCAUCAAAUUUUUUUAUUUAUUAUUUCUCGAGUAAUCACUUAAUUUGACCCUUUAUAAAGGAUAAAAUCAUUUUGAUUUAAGAAGCAGUAUUCUCUUCAUCUUAUAAUAACUGUUUUGAAUUGCAUUUGUAAUCUAAUGCAACCAUUUCAAUAAGAACCAGCUUUCAGGUGCCCCCAAACUUUUCAGCUCUAACAUGGUGCUCAUUCAGGGAUUAUUUGAUGGAAAUGAUUUAUCUGGUUCUAUACCAGAAACAUUAGGACUAGUUAAGACACUUGAGGUUCUCCGGCUUGAUAGAAAUUCCCUGACAUGAGAAGUUCCUACAAAUCUUUGUAAGAGAUGAGUUUGGAUAAUGAAGUUGGAGUGUUGGAGUAAGAAACAAAGAUGUUGGAGCAAGUUCCUAAGAUGAAACUCACACAAGAGACCAAGAAACUAAGGCAGACUUGUUUUAAAGUUAAAUACAAAAGGAGAAAACUUUUGGCUUCCAAAUCUUAUUCAUCAUCACUUAGCUAAGCUACUUGUCUUGUAUAUUCAUAUUCUAAGUAGUAAAAAUAGCACUUAUUAGAUGAUUCAAAUACAUUAUUAGAUAUUAACAUAGUUUAGGAAACUGGAUGGUAGAUUUGACUGAUUAGUGUUGAUUGUAAUGCUUGUAUUUUGAUAAGUUUAGUAAGACAAAGUUUUGUAUAGGAGUUAUUACUUUUGAUUUUUAAUAAUAAAAAAUUAUAUAUUA